rnacentral:misc_RNA from 1 species
CACCAAUCAAGCCUGGCUUGGUAUUGGGUGUUUGUCUCGCCUCUGCGUGUAGACUCGCCUCAAAACAAUUGGCAGCCGGCGUAUUGAUUUCGGAGCGCAGUACAUCUCGCGCUUUGCACUCAUAACGACGACGAUCCAAAAGUACAUUUUUACAC